AACAGGAUUAGAUACCCUGGUAGUCCACGCCGUAAACGAUGUCGACUUGGAGGCUGUUCCCUUGAGGAGUGGCUUCCGGAGCUAACGCGUUAAGUCGACCGCCUGGGGAGUACGGCCGCAAGGUUAAAACUCAAAUGAAUUGACGGGGGCCCGCACAAGCGGUGGAGCAUGUGGUUUAAUUCGAUGCAACGCGAAGAACCUUACCUACUCUUGACAUCCAGAGAAUUUAGCAGAGAUGCUUUAGUGCCUUCGGGAACUCUGAGACAGGUGCUGCAUGGCUGUCGUCAGCUCGUGUUGUGAAAUGUUGGGUUAAGUCCCGCAACGAGCGCAACCCUUAUCCUUUGUUGCCAGCACGUAAUGGUGGGAACUCAAAGGAGACUGCCGGUGAUAAACCGGAGGAAGGUGGGGAUGACGUCAAGUCAUCAUGGCCCUUACGAGUAGGACUACACACGUGCUACAAUGGCGCAUACAAAGAGAAGCGACCUCGCGAGAGCAAGCGGACCUCAUAAAGUGCGUCGUAGUCCGGAUUGGAGUCUGCAACUCGACUCCAUGAAGUCGGAAUCGCUAGUAAUCGUAAAUCAGAAUGUUACGGUGAAUACGUUCCCGGGCCUUGUACACACCGCCCGUCACACCAUGGGAGUGGGUUGCAAAAGAAGUAGAUAGCUUAACCUUCGGGAGGGCGUUUACCACUUUGUGAUUCAUGACUGGGGUGAAGUCGUAACAAGGUAACCGUAGGGGAACCUGCGGCUGGAUCACCUCCUU
rnacentral:rRNA from 1 species